rnacentral:tRNA from 1 species
GUCCCUGUAGUGCAAUGGAUAGCGCGUUGGACUUCUAAUCCAAAGGUCGUGGGUUCGAGCCCCACCCGGGAUG